rnacentral:rRNA from 1 species
UCUUUAGUUGAAGAGAACUGGAAAGUUCCGUCGUAGAAGGUAAUAACCCUGUAGGCGAAAAGGAAAGAAAAGUAGAUCUACUCCAGAGUACCACGAGACACGUGAAACCUUGUGGGAAGCUGGGAGGACCAUCUCCCAAGGCUAAAUACUACCUAGUGACCGAUAGUGAAGCAGUACCGUGAGGGAAAGGUGAAAAGAACCCCGGAAGGGGAGUGAAAUAGAAUCUGAAACCGUGUGCCUACAAUCGGUCGGAGCACAUUAAAGUGUGACGGCGUACUUUUUGUAGAACGGGCCAGCGAGUUACGAUAUAUAGCGAGGUUAAGCACUUAUGGUGUGGAGCCGAAGGGAAACCGAGUCUGAAUAGGGCAACUAGUUGUAUAUUGUAGACCCGAAACCGGGUGACCUAUCCAUGGCCAGGAUGAAGCGGAAGUAAAAUUCCGUGGAGGGCCGAACCACGUUGGUGUUGAAAAACCAUGGGAUGAGCUGUGGAUAGCGGAGAAAUUCCAAUCGAACUCGGAGAUAGCUGGUUCUCCUCGAAAUAGCUUUAGGGCUAGCGUCGGGUAAUUGAGUAGUGGAGGUAGAGCACUGAAUGGGCUAGGGGCUGACAACAGUUACUGAACCCUAUCAAACUCCGAAUGCCAUAUACUUGUACCCCGGCAGUCAGACUACGAAUGAUAAGAUCCGUGGUCAAAAGGG